rnacentral:rRNA from 1 species
AGAGUUUGAUCCUGGCUCAGAUUGAACGCUGGCGGUAUGCCUAACACAUGCAAGUCGAACGAGGUAGCAAUACCUAGUGGCGGACGGGUGAGGAAUACGUAGGGAUCUGCCUUUAAGUGGGGGAUAACCGGGAAACCCGGAUUAAUACCGCAUGAUCUCGCAAGAGCAAAGAGGGGGACCGCAAGGCCUCUCGCUUUUAGAGGAACCUACGUCGGAUUAGCUAGUUGGUGAGGUAAUGGCUCACCAAGGCGACGAUCCGUAACUGGUCUGAGAGGAUGAUCAGUCACACCGGAACUGAGACACGGUCCGGACUCCUACGGGAGGCAGCAGUGGGGGAAUAUUGGACAAUGGGCGAAAGCCUGAUCCAGCAAUACCGCGUGUGUGAAGAAGGCCUUCGGGUUGUAAAGCACUUUAAGUUGGGAAGAAAAAGCUUCACCUAAUACGUGGAGCCUUGACGGUACCGACAGAAUAAGCACCGGCUAACUCUGUG